GCCGGGUGUGGUGGCACACACCUUUAAUCCCAGCAGUUUGGGAGGCUGAGGCAGGAGGAUCAUGAGUUCAAAGCCAGCAUUAGGAACAGCGAAGCACUAAACAACUCAGUGAGACCUUGUCUCUA
rnacentral:sRNA from 1 species